CGAUGAUGCAUAGCCGAGUUGAGAGACUGAUCGGCCACAAUGGAACUGAGACACGGUCCAUACUCCUACGGGAGGCAGCAGUAGGGAAUCUUCCACAAUGGGCGCAAGCCUGAUGGAGCAACACCGCGUGAGUGAAGAAGGGUUUCGGCUCGUAAAGCUCUGUUGUUGGAGAAGAACGUGCGUGAGAGUAACUGUUCACGCAGUGACGGUAUCCAACCAGAAAGUCACGGCUAACUACGUGCCAGCAGCCGCGGUAAUACGUAGGUGGCAAGCGUUAUCCGGAUUUAUUGGGCGUAAAGCGAGCGCAGGCGGUUGCUUAGGUCUGAUGUGAAAGCCUUCGGCUUAACCGAAGAAGUGCAUCGGAAACCGGGCAACUUGAGUGCAGAAGAGGACAGUGGAACUCCAUGUGUAGCGGUGGAAUGCGUAGAUAUAUGGAAGAACACCAGUGGCGAAGGCGGCUGUCUGGUCUGCAACUGACGCUGAGGCUCGAAAGCAUGGGUAGCGAACAGGAUUAGAUACCCUGGUAGUCCAUGCCGUAAACGAUGAGUGCUAGGUGUUGGAGGGUUUCCGCCCUUCA
rnacentral:rRNA from 1 species